rnacentral:rRNA from 1 species
CACUGACAUUAGAUACCCCGGUAGUCCAGGGUGUAAACGCUGCAGACUUGGUGUUGGAGGCCCUUUGGGGGCAUUCAGUGCCGGAGAGAAGUUGUUAAGUCUGCUACUUGGGGAGUACGUCCGCAAGGAUGAAACUUAAAGGAAUUGGCGGGGAGCACCGCAACGGGAGGAGCGUGCGGUUUAAUUGGAUUCAACACCGUAAACUCACCAGGGAAGACUGUUACAUGAAGGCCGAGAUGAAGACUCUGCUAGAUUUUCAG